GUACACGCUGUGACUAGCAUAUCAAUAAGCGGAGGAAAAGAAACUAACAAGGAUUCCCCUAGUAACGGCGAGUGAAGCGGGAAGAGCUCAAAUUUGAAAUCUUAAAGGGUUUCCCUUUACGAAUUGUAGUUUAAAGAAGUGUUUUCUGUUGAGGUCUUGGUAAAAGUUCUUUGGAAUAGGACAUCAUAGAGGGUGAGAAUCCCGUAUUUGACCUUUACUUUCAACUUUGUGAUACACUUUCAAAGAGUCGGAUUGUUUGGGAAUGCAGUCCAAAAUGGGUGGUAAAUUUCAUCUAAAGCUAAAUAUUGGCGAGAGACCGAUAGCGAACAAGUACCGUGAGGGAAAGAUGAAAAGAACUUUGAAAAGAGAGUUAAACAGUACGUGAAAUUGUCAAAAGGGAAGCGUUUGACACCAGUGUUGUUUUUCUGAAAAUCAAUUAAAGAACUGUUUAUGCUAAGUUGUUUAGACUUUAUCAGCUAACUGUUUAGUUUUGAGCUUUUCUUUAAUGCACUUUUCAGUUAACAAGUCAACAUCAAUUUCUUUUGCUGUAAAAAAGCUUGAGGAAGGUGGCUUGAGAUUCGUCUUAAGUGUUUAUAGCCUCUUGCCUAUGCAGUCGGAGAGAUUGAGGUCUGCAGCGUAGAUCCUUCGGGGCUAAAUGCAUUUGUGCUAAGUUAUAGCAUUUUAUAGACAACUUGUUGACUAUGAUUUGUCUUGUAGCUUACUCGCUUAUGUUAUUUUACCUACGCUUAGGAUGUUGAAGUCAUCGUAUCGCGC
rnacentral:rRNA from 1 species